rnacentral:rRNA from 1 species
UACGUAGGGGCAAGCGUUGUCCGGAAUCAUUGGCGUAAGAGCGUGUAGGCGGCCCGAUAAGUCCGCUGUGAAAGUCCAGGCUCAACCCUGGAAUGCCGGUGGAUACUGUCGGGCUCGAAUCCGGAAGAGGUGAGUGGAAGUUCCGUGGUGUAGCGGUGAAAUGCGCAGAUAUCAGGAAGAACACCCGUGGCGAAGGCGGCUCUCUGGGCAGUAACUGACGCUGAGGAGCGAAAGCGUGGGGAGCGAACAGG